rnacentral:rRNA from 1 species
ACUCAAAUGAAUUGACGGGGACCCGCACAAGCAGAGGAGGAUGUGGUUUAAUAUGACGCUACGCGUAGAACCUUACCGAGGCUUGACAUCUUAGGAACCCACUGGAAACAGAGGGGUGCCUUCGGGAGCCUAAUGACAGGUGCUGCAUGGCCGUCGUCAGCUCGUGUCGUGAGAUGUUGGGUUAAGUCCCGCAACGAGCGCAACCCUUAUCGUAUGUUGUAUUUCUCAUGCGAUACUGCCCGGGCCAACCGGGAGGAAGGUGGGGAUGAAGUCAGGUCGGCAUGGCCCUUACGCCUCGGGCCACACACGUCCUACAAUGGCCGGUACAACGCGCCGCGAAGCCGCGAGGCGGAGCUAAUCGCACCAAAACCGGUCUCAGUUCGGAUUGCAGGCUGCAACUCGCCUGCAUGAAGUCGGAUUUGCUAGUAAACGCAGGUCAGCACACUGCGUUGAAUACGUUCCCGGGUCUUGUACACACCGCCCGU